rnacentral:misc_RNA from 1 species
GAUGAAGAACGUAGCGAAAUGCGAUACGUAAUGUGAAUUGCAGAAUUCAGUGAAUCAUCGAGUCUUUGAACGCACAUUGCGCCCCCCGGUAUUCCGGGGGGCAUGCCUGUCCGAGCGUCAUUGCUGCCCUCAAGCCCGGCUUGUGUGUUGGGUCUCGUCCCCCUUCCCGGGGGGACGGGCCCGAAAGGCAGCGGCGGCACCGCGUCCGGUCCUCGAGCGUAUGGGGCUUUGUCACCCGCUCUGUAGGCCCGGCCGGCGCUUGCCGAUCAACCCAAAUUUUUAUCCAGGUUGACCUCGGAUCAGGUAGGGAUACCCGCUGAACUUAAGCAUAUCAAUAAGCGGAGGA